rnacentral:sRNA from 1 species
GGAAGGAUCAUUACAGAAUUGUCAACGGGUUGUUGCUGGUCCUCAAACGGGGACAUGUGCACGCUCUGUUUACACAUCCACUCACACCUGUGCACCCUCCGUAGUUCUAUGGUCUGGGAGACCCCGUCUUCCUGCCGUGGUUCUAUGUCUUUACACACACACUGUAAUAAAGUCUUAUGGAAUGUAUGCCGCGUCUAACGCAAUACAAUACAACUUUCAGCAACGGAUCUCUUGGCUCUCGCAUCGAUGAAGAACGCAGCGAAAUGCGAUAAGUAAUGUGAAUUGCAGAAUUCAGUGAAUCAUCGAAUCUUUGAACGCACCUUGCGCCCCUUGGCUAUUCCGAGGGGCAUGCCUGUUUGAGUAUCAUGAACACCUCAACUCUCAUGGUUCGCCAUGAUGAGCUUGGACUCUGGGGGUUUUGCUGGCCUGCGGUCGGCUCCCCUUAAAUGAAUCAGCCUCCCAGUGUUUGGUGGCAUCACGGGUGUGAUAAAUAUCUACGCUCGCAGUUGUCUGCCAGGUAACCUUUGGUGACAAAGGUCGCUGGAGCUCACAGAUGUCUCUCCUUGCGAGGACAGCUUUUUGAACGUUCGAUCUCAAAUCAGGUAGGACUACCCGCUGAACUUAAGCAUAUCAAUAAGCGGAGGAA